UUCCCGAGAUCGCAUCGCUGCAGGUUUUGCCUGCUUGGGCUGUUGAGUAAAAGUGGCAGGAGAAUUCAUGAGCGGCAUGUGAUGAACCAUAAAUAAUGAGCAGUCUCCCAGGAAAGCAUCAGGGGACCACAGAGGAGAACUCUGGCCUGGCAGCUGGUGAGAUCACCCGGCAACUCGUGCCCAGGGACCCCCUGCCUGACUGUGGCUAAGCCACCGUGGUCUGCUUCAAUAUCCCACCCUCAGAGCGGAAGGAGGAGCCGUGCAAGAUGUGUUAGCAGUCCCCAACCCAAAGGUUUCUUGGUGUGUGCAUCACCCUUUGCAUCCUCUGGGGAUUAAAAGAUGGGACAGGCUGCUCAGCAAAGCGGUGGGACCGCAGAGGCAGACGGUGAGGGCGUUAUUGCGGGUCUGUUUUGCAGAUCUCGGGGAUCUAGUAGGGAAAUCUGUGAGGGCAAAGGGGUGCCUGGGAUGAAAGGCAGGACACCCUAAAAGACAGCAUCCAAAAUAACAGCACGCUUGCUUGCUCCUCCCAGGUGCUGGAGGGCCAAGGAUGUCUGCGCUGGGGCUGGGGAACGCAGAGGCGUGGGGCUGCCCUAAAGUGGGAGGCACUUUUCUGGAAGCUUAUCCGGAACUUUUAAAGGAUUUUUUGGGUUUUUUUCAGCUUCAAAACCUGUACAUUCUAAAGCGAAAUUCCUCACGUUGUUAGCAUCACUUUCAACCAGCAGCAAUCAUUAGAUCCUGAGCCUGUUGCCAGCGGCAGCACCAGUGAUUUACCUUGUUUGCUGCAAGGCUAAAGGAUGAGACAGUUUCUCCCUUUGCUGAGCUUCCCACAUUGCCUCCUUGCUCACGAAGAAGCAAAAUUCCUUACCAAAAAUUGGGCUGCCACCACAUCAGGAGACUGCCAACAACCGCCUCCAGGUGCGGCUGUCUUGGAACGCGUUUGAAAACCCGCCCUGAAUGCAUUUCUCCUCCUCUGCAUUUUCCCCAAUACAUUCCCCCCCCCUCCAGCCCCCAGCCUGAGCUCCUGGUGCUGGUUUCCAGGGAUGGCCACCCUCUGCGACUGGCCCAGUGGCCAGCAGCAUGUCCCGUGCCAGAGCAACCUGUCCUCAUCCUGCCAAGGUGCUUCGUUUGCUGCACUCACUUUUGUUCCUCUGCUAACCCCAUCGUGCUGCUCCUAUUUUUAAUACCAAGGGCUAAAGCCGCCUCUCUGCUGCGUCUCGCAUGCGUUGCGAGCGGCACAAGGUAUUAAGCUGAGCGUGUCUGUGUUUAGCACCUGCCAGGCGGCUCCCGGCGAGGAAUCCAUCGGCUCUGCUGUGUUGCCAGCCCCAAAUGACAACGUUUUUUCUUCCUCUGUGGGAGAUGUCUUCUGAACUGGCUGAAAUGACAGCGCCAGAUUCUCCCUGUGUGACAGGAGGGCUUUUUUUUCUGUGACAGAGAUACCAGGGUGGAACAUCUGAUCACUGGAACAAACACAUCCCAAAAUAAAGGGCUUGAACAUCCUGUUUUUAAAGCUGGUCUUGCAAAAUGUUCAAAAGCUUUUCUAUUUAGCUAGCAUUUCAGUGUCCAUAAAUGGCUUAAACUUUUCCCAGCUAUUGUUAGUGGCAGUAUCUAUAACUCAGUGGCUGUGAAGAAUAAAUAAAUAGAUGAAGUAAAACACAAUGGCUCAGCUACAUUCCCUGGUGUUACGAUGGGAAAAGCUACAAGGCCCAAGAGCUCCUGUAGUUAUUUUAGGGAGAACAGGUUGCAAACAAGCCAGGAAAACUCCUUGUACUGUAGGACUUUAUCCUUCUGGGACAUGUCCUGGAAUGGAUGGGAUGCAAGACUGGGGGAGUUUAGUGUCUUCACAGCUUCAGUGUCGUGUUCUGAGCGCCCGGGUCAGGACACUGGUCCCCGCUGAAAUUGCUGGAAAAAAGGUCCAGUGCUGUGCUGGAGCGAGCAUCCCUCUGGGUUGCCGGGUCAGGAUGUUCGCAGCAUCUUGCUGACGGCAGGAUCAAAGCAGUUUUUACAGCCUUACCAGACUGAGGGGCUCCCCACGGGCAUCCCUGCCCGGAGCUCACAGGAACUGCUCUGCCUUUUGAGGUGCUCCACCUGGAGCCGUGCUGGAGAAGAGCAAUUUAUCCAUGCUUUCUCCUGAGGUUCCUUAAACAAGUAGCACACACACGUUUUAAAAAUGGUUUUAUUAGACUCUUUGAGUUGAUUUCUAGAGACCCAACCUCAGAAUAAAUCCACGUGCUCUCAAAAGCCCUGUUAACAUCUGCAGCAUGGGGCCAGGACUCCGUUUUGCCCCCCCCCCAGAGGGAAUCACCCUUGUGGCAACGAGCCCUGAGCUGGUGUGGGGUUGGAUCAGAAUUCGGGGUCAGCGCAGAAACCCCGACGGUCUCACUCCUGCCUGUGCUGGGAGCUGUCGAGGCCCACUCGUGUUAUGGCUGAUAGAGAGGAGGAGGUUGGCACCCAACGCUGUCCCAGACAGUGGAGCUAUCAGAUCCUGUCCUCACCCGCCAGGAAAGGAAAACUUGCUGUGAAAUGUUCUGCUUUGCAGCACUUUGCCUUUGAUUAAUGAAGAGCAGCCGGAGAAGGGAACUGGCCCUGUGCCAUCAUGUACCGGAGAAUUACAUCUUCCUUGGCCGGAUGAUGGGUUCCUUCUGCUUUUGAGAGAAAGAAGCCCUGUGGCCACGUCAGCCACUGCCCGUGGGCUUCUGCGUGGAGAGAGUGCCACUUGCUGUCGGGCUGGGGAGGCAAGACGUGCUCCGGCCACACGCUGAGCUCUGCUUAGUGUGGUACCCAUCCUGCUGCCACCAGGAGGAAGCCCCAGAAGGUAAAUGCUCAUUUACGCAGCCUACGGUCCCUAUUAGACCCUGCACCGAGCAGUCAGUAACACAGAGUCACGUGUGGAUUCUGCUGGGUUUUACUGACUGUGAAAGUGGGGAAUAGUCCAAACAUACCAUAAAAGAGCAGGGUCAGGCUCUUCAUUACUGUGGUGGGUUAGGAGCAUUUCCAGGGGGAGGCAUGUGUUGGGCUGGUAACAAGCUCUCCUUUGGCACAAGCAGAGCGUUGAAUGGGUGUGAAAACUGGAGGCUGAAGGCAGCAGAUGGGAGAGGUGAAAAGGAGGGUGUUUGCAGCUGUGGGUACCGGGGUGCCCGAGGCAGUGCAUGCAGGAGGAUGCUGCCAGGCUCUGCACUGUGUGGCGGGUCCCAGCCCGCCCUGGGGGGUACAGGAGCCGGAGGCUGUAGGGACAGGAGAGGAUGGCAAACCCCUCCUAACCUCAUGGAAGAGGUUGAAGUGGACGUUGAAGGAUCCUAGCAGCAGUUUUCAGGUGAUGCUGUGCAUAAGACUGACUGAACGCCAGCUGGUGGGGGUGGGUCCCGUGGACUGUUUUUCAGUCUCACCCGAGCCCUUCUCCCACCCAGAUCUCAUGUGGCGAUGCUGUGUUGAGGCCAAAUAUGACAUGACAGGAGCCAAACCAUGACAGAUGACAGGAGCUCAGGGAGCUGCAAAGGUGGAGAGUUAAAAGGCACUUGGGACUUGUUGUCCAAGCAGAUUUAUGGGACGUUGCUUUAGCCUCACCCUCUAUCUUUACUGUGGGGCACAAGUGGCCUCAAAAUUGGUCCAUUUGUUUCUUGUGGCUUCUGACGUUGGUCUGGCAGCAGAAAGGCUGGAGCAUUGGACCUUUGGCUGUGUUUUUUUCCAAAGGAUUUGGAAAACGAGUGACUAAUGUCAUGAUGAGACUAAGAGGAGGCAGGGAGGUUGGUGCAUGAGCGUGAGGGGAAAAAACAUCCCCCUUCUCCAAAUGUUUGUCCUGGCUGCGGACACGGGAACUUCAGCAUGAACACCU